rnacentral:rRNA from 1 species
AUUGAACGCUGGCGGCAGGCCUAACACAUGCAAGUCGAACGCCCCGCAAGGGGAGUGGCAGACGGGUGAGUAACGCGUGGGAAUCUACCGUGCCCUGCGGAAUAGCUCCGGGAAACUGGAAUUAAUACCGCAUACGCCCUACGGGGAAAGGAUUUAUCGGGUAUGAUGAGCCCGCGUUGGAUUAGCUAGUUGGUGGGGUA